rnacentral:rRNA from 1 species
AUUGAACGCUGGCGGCAUGCUUUACACAUGCAAGUCGAACGGUAACAGGGUGCUUGCACCGCUGACGAGUGGCGAACGGGUGAGUAAUGCAUCGGAACGUACCCAGUCGUGGGGGAUGACGUAGCGAAAGUUACGCUAAUACCGCAUACGUCCUGAGGGAGAAAGCGGGGGACCGUAAGGCCUCGCGCGAUUGGAGCGGCCGAUGUCGGAUUAGCUAGUUGGUAGGGUAAAGGCCUACCAAGGCGACGAUCCGUAGCGGGUCUGAGGGGAUGAUCCGCCACACUGGGACUGAGACACGGGCCAGACUCCUACGGGAGGCAGCAGUGGGGAAUUUUGCGCAAUGGGCGAAAGCCUGACGCAGUAACGCCGCGUGGAGGAUGAAGGCCUUCGGGUUGUAAACUCCUGUCAGAAGGAACGACGGAGCGGGGGUAAAUAAUCCCUUCUUCCAGACGGUACCUUCAAAGGAAGCCCCGGCUAAUUCCGUGCCAGCCGCCGCCGUAAGAC